GAUCACUUUUGAGGACAGCACUCAGCCACAGAUUCAAAUAGCUGCGGCUGAGUGUUCUUGUGUGGCUGGAACUGCUCUCUGCAAUCACAGUGUUGCACUGCUGUACCAGAGCACGAAAUACUCGGCAUUGCAACUGAAAGCAGUUCCGCCAGUCCUCAGCUGCACUGAAACUGAGCAGCAGUGGCAUAAGCCCCGAAAACUGGGUGUGAAACCUGGCAGAGUGAGUAAUAUGGUAUUUGUCUCAACCAAACCAAAGUCGAGACAGUACACAGCUGCUGAUGGUGUGAGGAGCAAGCGCUACAAAGCAGUGCGGGGGGACUUGCCAGACCCAGAUGUCCUGAAGGUCGACGAGGCAUACCAGGACUUCAUGGCAGACCUUGCACCAUUAAUCACCACGCUCUCCAUAAGUCCUGGUGUCCCCCUCGUCAAUUCCACUUUUGGGAGCGUUCAAGAUG